AUGCCAUGGUGAGGACAUUCCCUCUGCAAGUCCUUAUAUCUUUCCCAUGCGUUAUAGAAUGAUUCACCUUCCUUUUGCUUGAAGGUAUUGAGCUCAAGCCUCAGUCU